AAUGAACGUUGGCGGCGUGGAUUAGGCAUGCAAGUCGAGCGAGAACCCCGCAAGGGGGGACAGCGGCAAACGGGGUAGUAAUGUGUCGGAACGUGCCCAGAGGACGGGGAUAGCGGCGGGAAACUGCCGGUAAUACCCGAUGAUCUCGAGGGAGCAAAGGUGUGAUUCCGCCUUUGGAGCGGCCGACAUGGUAUUAGCUAGUUGGCGGGGUAACGGCCCACCAAGGCUGUGAUGCCUAGGGGAUGUGAGAGCAUGAUCCCCACCAUUGGGACUGAGACACUGCCCAGACACCUACGGGUGGCUGCAGUCGAGAAUCUUCGUCAAUGGGCGAAAGCCUGAACGAGCGACGCCGCGUGCGGGAUGGAGGCCUUUGGGUUGUAAACCGCUGUCGAGGGGGAUGAAGGCAUUCAGGUCCUCCUGAAUGUUUGACAGAGCCCUGGAGGAAGCACGGGCUAAGUUCGUGCCAGCAGCCGCGGUAAGAC
rnacentral:rRNA from 1 species